rnacentral:rRNA from 1 species
GGGUUGUGAGGUUAAGCGACUAAGCGUACACGGUGGAUGCCCUGGCAGUCAGAGGCGAUGAAGGGCGUGCUAAUCUGCGAUAAGCGCCGGUAAGGUGAUAUGAACCGUUAUAACCGGCGAUACCCGAAUGGGGAAACCCAGUGUGAUUCGUCACACUAUCAUUAACUGAAUCCAUAGGUUAAUGAGGCGAACCGGGGGAACUGAAACAUCUAAGUACCCCGAGGAAAAGAAAUCAACCGAGAUUCCCCCAGUAGCGGCGAGCGAACGGGGAGGAGCCCAGAGCCUGAAUCAGCAUGUGUGUUAGUGGAAGCGUCUGGAAAGGUGCGCGAUACAGGGUGACAGCCCCGUACACAAAAGCGCAUGUGCUGUGAGCUCGAUGAGUAGGGCGGGACACGUGGUAUCCUGUCUGAAUAUGGGGGGACCAUCCUCCAAGGCUAAAUACUCCUGACUGACCGAUAGUGAACCAGUACCGUGAGGGAAAGGCGAAAAGAACCCCGGCGAGGGGAGUGAAAAAGAACCUGAAACCGUGUACGUACAAGCAGUGGGAGCACAGGUUUACCUGUGUGACUGCGUACCUUUUGUAUAAUGGGUCAGCGACUUAUAUUCUGUAGCAAGGUUAACCGUAUAGGGGAGCCGGAGGGAAACCGAGUCUUAAUUGGGCGUUAAGUUGCAGGGUAUAGACCCGAAACCCGGUGAUCUAGCCAUGGGCAGGUUGAAGGUUGGGUAACACUAACUGGAGGACCGAACCGACUAAUGUUGAAAAAUUAGCGGAUGACCUGUGGCUGGGGGUGAAAGGCCAAUCAAACCGGGAGAUAGCUGGUUCUCCCCGAAAGCUAUUUAGGUAGCGCCUCGUGAAUUCAUCUCCGGGGGUAGAGCACUGUUUCGGCUAGGGGGCCAUCCCGGCUUACCAACCCGAUGCAAACUGCGAAUACCGGAGAAUGUUAUCACGGGAGACACACGGCGGGUGCUAACGUCCGUCGUGAAGAGGGAAACAACCCAGACCGCCAGCUAAGGUCCCAAAGUCAUGGUUAAGUGGGAAACGAUGUGGGAAGGCCCAGACAGCCGUGAUGUUGGCUUAGAAGCAGCCAUCAUUUAAAGAAAGCGUAAUAGCUCACUGGUCGAGUCGGCCUGCGCGGAAGAUGUAACGGGGCUAAACCAUGCACCGAAGCUGCGGCAGCGAACGUAUCACCCAAGACAACUUUACGGAGUUGACGAUUGACGGAGCGAAGCGACGUCAAAGCGUUCAUUAAAGUCGAGUUGGCUUAGGGAUACGUUCGUUGGGUAGGGGAGCGUUCUGUAAGCCUGUGAAGGUGUGUCGUGAGGCAUGCUGGAGGUAUCAGAAGUGCGAAUGCUGACAUAAGUAACGAUAAAGCGGGUGAAAAGCCCGCUCGCCGGAAGACCAAGGGUUCCUGUCCAACGUUAAUCGGGGCAGGGUGAGUCGACCCCUAAGGCGAGGCCGAAAGGCGUAGUCGAUGGGAAACGGGUUAAUAUUCCCGUACUUGGUGUUACUGCGAAGGGGGGACGGAGAAGGCUAUGUUGGCCGGGCGACGGUUGUCCCGGUUUAAGCGUGUAGGUGUGUGUUCCAGGUAAAUCCGGUUCACUUUAACACUGAGGCGUGACGACGAGGCACUACGGUGCUGAAGCAACAAAUGCCCUGCUUCCAGGAAAAGCCUCUAAGCAUCAGGUAACAUCAAAUCGUACCCCAAACCGACACAGGUGGUCAGGUAGAGAAUACCAAGGCGCUUGAGAGAACUCGGGUGAAGGAACUAGGCAAAAUGGUGCCGUAACUUCGGGAGAAGGCACGCUGACACGUAGGUGAAGUGAUUUACUCAUGGAGCUGAAGUCAGUCGAAGAUACCAGCUGGCUGCAACUGUUUAUUAAAAACACAGCACUGUGCAAACACGAAAGUGGACGUAUACGGUGUGACGCCUGCCCGGUGCCGGAAGGUUAAUUGAUGGGGUCAGCGUAAGCGAAGCUCCUGAUCGAAGCCCCGGUAAACGGCGGCCGUAACUAUAACGGUCCUAAGGUAGCGAAAUUCCUUGUCGGGUAAGUUCCGACCUGCACGAAUGGCGUAAUGAUGGCCAGGCUGUCUCCAUCCGAGACUCAGUGAAAUUGAACUCGCUGUGAAGAUGCAGUGUACCCGCGGCAAGACGGAAAGACCCCGUGAACCUUUACUAUAGCUUGACACUGAACAUUGAGCCUUGAUGUGUAGGAUAGGUGGGAGGCUUUGAAGUGUGGACGCCAGUCUGCAUGGAGCCGACCUUGAAAUACCACCCUUUAAUGUUUGAUGUUCUAACGUGGACCCGUAAUCCGGGUUGCGGACAGUGUCUGGUGGGUAGUUUGACUGGGGCGGUCUCCUCCUAAAGAGUAACGGAGGAGCACGAAGGUUGGCUAAUCCUGGUCGGACAUCAGGAGGUUAGUGCAAUGGCAUAAGCCAGCUUGACUGCGAGCGUGACGGCGCGAGCAGGUGCGAAAGCAGGUCAUAGUGAUCCGGUGGUUCUGAAUGGAAGGGCCAUCGCUCAACGGAUAAAAGGUACUCCGGGGAUAACAGGCUGAUACCGCCCAAGAGUUCAUAUCGACGGCGGUGUUUGGCACCUCGAUGUCGGCUCAUCACAUCCUGGGGCUGAAGUAGGUCCCAAGGGUAUGGCUGUUCGCCAUUUAAAGUGGUACGCGAGCUGGGUUUAGAACGUCGUGAGACAGUUCGGUCCCUAUCUGCCGUGGGCGCUGGAGAACUGAGGGGGGCUGCUCCUAGUACGAGAGGACCGGAGUGGACGCAUCACUGGUGUUCGGGUUGUCAUGCCAAUGGCACUGCCCGGUAGCUAAAUGCGGAAGAGAUAAGUGCUGAAAGCAUCUAAGCACGAAACUUGCCCCGAGAUGAGUUCUCCCUGAGACUUAGAGUCUCCUGAAGGAACGUUGAAGACGACGACGUUGAUAGGCCGGGUGUGUAAGCGCAGCGAUGCGUUGAGCUAACCGGUACUAAUGAACCGUGAGGCUUAACCUUACAACGCCGAAG